UAUACUGUCUUGUAAAACUGAGGCGUUAUAUCUAUUCAAGUUCAGUCAUAGAUUCACCUCAGUUAAAAAACUACAUUCACCCCAAAUUAGACAUUACCCCAGCAUUUGCUGAAUCUACAGGAAGGUCAUCAUUUCUUUUUGUGAGCUAAUUAUUCAAUUCCUAUAUAUUUUUGUCGAGAGUAUUUGAUCUUUAAAAAUUUCACUGUUGUUCACAGGGAGUGAAUCUUUUUGAACCCUGAUUCUUGGAUGGGCUUGCUAAUCUCCUAAUGGUUUCAUUUCACCUCAGGAGCUGAUCCUUUAAAGUGGAUGACUGAGUGGAGGGGAGGGUAGAGCAAGUGCUUGAUAGCUAGGCCCAUACCUGGUAAAUGUCUUACCUGGGCUUGGUGCUUUGAGGUCUGAAUUGUUUCUAAAUGCCCCUUGGGAUGUGUGGAAUCUUACGACCCAUUACAAGAACAGGAGCGCAUUAAUCUUCUCUGACAACUCUUCUCUUUUAGACGUCGGGGAUCUUCGACCCGUUCUUUUAGUAGGGAAUUGAAUAACUUCUUCAAGGGAGGUUGACACUCCUUAUAUUUCGGCCAGUAUCAGCGAGAUUCAAUAAGUUUCAUGAAUGUCUUCCGAACCUGGUAUUCUCUAGAGAUGUCUCCAUGCCAGCAUUCUCCAUUGAGGCAGAACAACUCUCAUCAAUCUUUUCUCAUCACUCCUCAAUCCAUGCAGCCAGCUUUUCUGCAAGCUUCUCUUCGUGUCUCCCAUAAAGUCGAAUUAAACAGGACUGGGCAAUUCUGAAAGGACCAAGGAGCCUACCUAUAAGCUGAUGACAGGCAGAUCUUCCACUGUCUGCCCUUUCAGGUUCUGGAAACUGACCCGUGAUCUCAGGUCUUUGGGCAGUAUCUCGAUCUGACAUAACUUCCCGAACAAAUGAACUAUGACAAGCUCCACAGAUGGCGUCAGCCCCUCCAUCACACUGAUCCACCCACAGAAUUCUGCCCAGUUUCCUUGGAUCCACCAGCCACAACAAGCCUCGUGGUACCCACCAUCAUUCCACCUGGCAUCCAACCGGACCCACCACAACAGACAACGCAAUCCAGAUCCCUGAGACUCAGCGUGAGACAUCAUCCGUAGCCCUAACCCUCAUUUAUUGCUGCCUCUGCCAGCUCAAAUUUGGCAGAUCGGGUCUUUGGUCUCAGAAUCAAUUGUGGGAAUAUUUUGUGCUGAUUUCUUUGAGUCCUGUCAGCCAAGCAUCUGCUGUGCACUCUUCUAACACUCAGUGCAUCACCUUCAAUCCCAUGUGUGCUGUCCACUUGAGAGUGUGAGUCCAGGAUUCUGAGGCCUCAUCCUGUCUUUGGAAGUAACAGACCACUCUUCGGCAAGUGUCCUGUGCCAAGGGCUGGACGUCAGGAAUCUUGGACCUGUUCUUGGAGCAGGGAAUUGAGUAACUUCUUCAAGGUCACGUUGAC